rnacentral:rRNA from 1 species
GAAAGAUGGCCUCGCGUCUGAUUAGCUAGUUGGCGGGGUAACGGCCCACCAAGGCGACGAUCAGUAGCCGGUCUGAGAGGAUGAACGGCCACAUUGGGACUGAGAUACGGCCCAGACUCCUACGGGAGGCAGCAGUGGGGAAUAUUGGGCAAUGGGGGAAACCCUGACCCAGCAACGCCGCGCGAAGGAAGAAGGCCCUCGGGUUGUAAACUUCUUUUACCAGGGACGAAGGACGUGACGGUACCUGGAGAAAAAGCAACGGCUAACUACGUGCCAGCAGCCGCGGUAAUACGUAGGUUGCAAGCGUUGUCCGGAUUUACUGGGUGUAAAGGGCGUGUAGGCGGAGAUGCAAGUUGGGAGUGAAAUCCCGGGGCUCAACCCCGGAACUGCUUUCAAAACUGUAUCCCUUGAGUAUCGGAGAGGCAAGCGGAAUUCCUAGUGUAGCGGUGAAAUGCGUAGAUAUUAGGAGGAACACCAGUGGCGAAGGCGGCUUGCUGGACGACAACUGACGCUGAGGCGCGAAAGCGUGGGGAGCAAACAGGAUUAGAUACCCUGGUAGUCCACGCUGUAAACGAUGAAUACUAGGUGUGGGAGGACUGACCCCUUCCGUGCCGCAGUUAACACAAUAAGUAUUCCACCUGGGGAGUACGACCGCCAAGGUUGAAACUCCAAAGGAAUUGACGGGGG